UACGUAGGUGGCAAGCGUUGUCCGGAUUUACUGGGCGUAAAGAGCGCGCAGGCGGUCGUUUAAGUCGAAUGUGAAAGCCCCCGGCUUAACUGGGGAGGGUCAUUCGAUACUGCUCGACUCGAAGGCAGGAGAGGGAAGUGGAAUUCCCGGUGUAGUGGUGAAAUGCGUAGAUAUCGGGAGGAACACCAGUGGCGAAGGCGGCUUCCUGGCCUGUUCUUGACGCUGAGGCGCGAAAGCUAGGGGAGCAAACGGG
rnacentral:rRNA from 1 species